UUUUUGGAGGAGAUAUUUUUACAUAUAAAGUGAUAAAAAUAAAUUGUUUAUUACAUGCAAGAAGGAACAAUAUGGCUCAAGUUUUCAAAUUUAUUUAUGCUUUGAUCAUCGUCCUUUCUCUAUUUCUUGUUGAAACAAAUACCGCUACAUGCAUUACUGACGCAGAUUGUCCUUAUGAUGGAAAAUGUAUUGAUGGUUUUUGUCGGUUUAAUGUGAAGAACAAUAAUCAAGUUUAAAAAGAAUUAUUUACCUCUAAUUAAGCCUAUAAUUUAAUGAAAAGCUCUAAAGUGUAUUAGUAUGUAUAUAGGGUUUUAUGCAACUUUUAGGCAAGACAUGAGGCGGUUGCAUCCCAAUUUUAUUCCUAGGGUAUUGUCCUUGCCCCCAAAGGUGUACUCUCUUGUUAAUGUUGGAGAUGACUGAUGGUGCAGUUGGGGUGCUAAUAUUGUGAUGUCUUUCUUAUUAUACAAUGUCUUUACACUAUAAUCUUGUUUUUGAGAAGAAAAAACAAGAUAAUGGAGAUUAGUUAUUUACUCUACUUCUACAGUUAGUAUAUAUUUAAAAAUAUUCGUUGAAAGAUAAACUUAAAGACGUGUAUAGUCGGCCUUUUUUUUUGUAAUGAGAUAAACUUUAACUUCUCUUUAAGCUCUCUUUCUCAUUUACUCAUCAAGGAGGGGUGGUUUUAGGUUAUUGUUUAGCCUAAAAUCACCCAUCUGCAUCUUUUCCCUCUUACUUUAUAGAUCUAAACAAGUGAUUUCAACAUGUAUCAAGUUUUUUGUGAUUUCGUCGUCUGAGUGCGACGUUGUGUUGUUCGUCGUCUUGAACAACGUUGUUUUAUUCCGCGUCUUGUUCUGGUGGUUUAUAUUGAAAGAUCAACUUCAGUCAACCACAGAUUAAAUCAAUGAUUUGAACGUCAAAGUUGCAGAUCCGGAAGCAUGAGUAUUCUGGUGAUUUAAAUUUUAUCAUAUUAUUUAUAGACAUUUUGUUGUUGUAUGCUAUUAAUCAAGUGAUGUGAGUUUGUUUGCAGAUUCAUCAU